AGUGAACGCUGGCGGUAGGCCUAACACAUGCAGGUCGAACGGCAGCACAGUAAGAGCUUGCUCUUACGGGUGGCGAGUGGCGGACGGGUGAGGAAUACAUCGGAAUCUACUUUUUCGUGGGGGAUAACGUAGGGAAACUUACGCUAAUACCGCAUACGACCUACGGGUGAAAGCAGGGGAUCUUCGGACCUUGCGCGAUUGAAUGAGCCGAUGUCGGAUUAGCUAGUUGGCGGGGUAAAGGCCCACCAAGGCGACGAUCCGUAGCUGGUCUGAGAGGAUGAUCAGCCACACUGGAACUGAGACACGGUCCAGACUCCUACGGGAGGCAGCAGUGGGGAAUAUUGGACAAUGGGCGUAAGCCUGAUCCAGCCAUACCGCGUGGGUGAAGAAGGCCUUCGGGUUGUAAAGCCCUUUUGUUGGGAAAGAAAAGCAGCAGGUUAAUACCCCGCUGUUCUGACGGUACCCAAAGAAUAAGCACCGGCUAACUUCGUG
rnacentral:rRNA from 1 species